AACUAUUAAUAGUUGUUAAGCUUUCAAAACAACCUUUGCUUUUAUGUUUUAGAUCAGAGCCCUCAUGUCAAAAAUGAUUUUGGACAACCAAAAAGAAGAGUUGUGCCUCUUGAGGAAAGUGGCCAGGCUCCGAGCUCCUGAUGAUGAGGACAUCGAAGAAUUUACUCCAAAACCUCUGGAAACUGUCGCAGAACUGGAGGACCUAUGUGAAAAGCUGAAUUCUCCUGAAGAGGCCAACUUAAAAAAAAAAAACAGAUGAUUCGUCACUUUACUUCCAUGGGAGGCUACAACCUUGGCGAGAGUGUCCGCCGCAUGCUACGCAGGCUAGGGACAAAUAUGCUGUGGUCCCUUUACAGCUACAAGGGACGAAAAGGGAAAAGAGCUCUGAGUGAUCUUCCAAUCUCCCGGGUGUUAAUCAAAGCCUGACUGAGUGCCCACCCCAAAAGCAGAGUCCUGGAAGUAGAAGAGACCAUCAAAGAAACUCUGAAGUACUUCCCAAACAGAAAGGGUGCGGCAAAGUACAAGAAUCCUGAUGCCAACAAGACAGCAGCAACACCAUAUGAGGUCAACAACGCCGACUUUGAUGACUAGCAGAUCCAAACUGAAAAUGAUUGGUAAUUUAGUAAUUUAGGGUGUUUGUUUGAUCCCAAUUUCAAUAACGUGAAUUGCGGAAUUAGCGUUCCAAUCCUGGUCUGAGGGCCCCAUUUAGGGUGUUUGUUUGAUCCCAAUUUCAAUAACGUGAAUUGUCUGCAUUGGGCAAACAUUUAAAAGUCAAUAGAAUGUCUCAUGAAGUCAUAAUGACCUCACUUCAUAUUGGCAUUUCUAGUGGAUAUCCAACACAUGCCAAGUUUCAUUAUAAUCAGAAUUUGUCUUAUGUGUGUGUGUUAAAGACUGCAUAUUUCAUUAAUUCAUCAUGAUGUUCAUAAUUUUGCUGAUUCUUAUGGAAAAACAUGAAAAGUAGACAUCCAAAAAAAGUUAUAUUAU